rnacentral:rRNA from 1 species
AUUGAACGCUGGCGGCAUGCCUUACACAUGCAAGUCGAACGGCAGCACGGGGCAACCUGGUGGCGAGUGGCGAACGGGUGAGUAAUGCAUCGGAACGUACCUUUCAGUGGGGGAUAACGUAGCGAAAGUUACGCUAAUACCGCAUAUUCUGUGAGCAGGAAAGCAGGGGAUCGCAAGACCUUGCGCUGAUUGAGCGGCCGAUGUCAGAGUAGCUAGUUGGUGAGGUAAAGGCUCACCAAGGCGACGAUCUGUAGCGGGUCUGAGAGGAUGAUCCGCCACACUGGAACUGAGACACGGUCCAGACUCCUACGGUAGGCAGCAGUGGGGAAUUUUGGACAAUGGGGGCAACCCUGAUCCAGCCAUGCCGCGUGAGUGAAGAAGGCCUUCGGGUUGUAAAGCUCUUUCGGCCGGGAAGAAAUCGCACGGGCUAAUACCCUGUGUGGAUGACGGUACCGGAAUAAGAAGCACCGGCUAACUACGUGCCAGCCGCCGCCGUAA